rnacentral:rRNA from 1 species
GACGAACCGUGCGAACGUUGUUCGGAAUCACUGGGCUUAAAGGGCGCGUAGGCGGGUGGCCAAGUCAGGGGUGAAAUCCGGCAGCUUAACUGUCGAACAGCUUCUGAUACUGGCCGUCUUGAGGGGGGUAGGGGCAUGUGGAACUUCCGGUGGAGCGGUGAAAUGCGUAGAUAUCGGAAGGAACGCCGGUGGCGAAGGCAGCACUCUGGGACGUGACUGACGCUGAGACGCGAAAGCGUGGGGAGCAAACAGGG